rnacentral:rRNA from 1 species
UUGGAGGGCAAGUUUGGUGCCAGCAGCCGCGGUAAUUCCAGCUUCAAUAGCGUAUAUUAAAGUUGUUGCAGUUAAAAAGCUCGUAGUUGAAUUUCGGGAUUAGCAGGUCGGUCGUGCCUUCGGUAUGAACUGGUCUCGCUGAUUCCUCCCUCUUGACAAACUGGAAUGCCAUUAAUUUGGUGUUGCGGGGAAUCAGGACUGUUACUUUGAAAAAAUUAAAGGGUUUAAAGCAGG